CCUACGGGUGGCAGCAGUGGGGAAUAUUGCGCAAUGGGCGAAAGCCUGACGCAGCGACGCCGCGUGAGGGAUGAAGGUCUUCGGAUCGUAAACCUCUGUCAGCAGGGAAGAACGGUCACUGUGCUAAUCAGCAGUGAAUUGACGGUACCUGCAAAGGAAGCACCGGCUAACUCCGUGCCAGCAGCCGCGGUAAUACGGAGGGUGCGAGCGUUAAUCGGAAUUACUGGGCGUAAAGCGCUCGUAGGCGGUAUGUCAAGUCAAGGGUGAAAUCCCCGCGCUCAACGUGGGAACUGCCUUUGAAACUGGCAAACUGGAGUGUGUGAGAGGCAAGUGGAAUUCCAGGUGUAGGGGUGAAAUGCGUAGAUAUCUGGAGGAACAUCAGUGGCGAAGGCGACUAUCUGGCACAUAACUGACGCUGAGGAGCGAAAGCGUGGGUAGCAAACAGGAUUAGAUACCCCAGUAGUC
rnacentral:rRNA from 1 species